CUCUUUACUGUAGAAGAAGUUCAAUCUGAAGGAUACUGAAGCAAUAUCUGCUGAAAGGUCACUUUAACGCUAUUCAACUACAGUUUCAGGGAAGAGAAUUGGUCAUCUUAGAGUCCAGAACAUGAUAUACACAAUCUCAGUGAUUCAACUGGACAGACCAUUGAGAUAAGCAAGUUCGGGAGGAUAAGGAAUGGCUGUUGGCUUCACUUCAGCUCUGGUUGUGGGAUGUUCCAAGUGAAGUUCAUCAGCCCUUGACAAGAGAAUGCUAUUUUCUGGGAAAUAUAUAAAGCUGAAGAAAUGCUGCUGUAGUUCUUUUGAGUGCACCGCAAGGAUGUAUUAAGACAUUCAUGAAGAGGAAGUAGUACAUAUUUGGCUGUUAGAGUAAUAAGUGUAUGAUAUUAUUUUCUUCUUUAUGGUGGUUGUUUCUUGAACGCGAAUAUAUGAAACAUCCUCUCGGCAUAAUAUGACUUAAAUGUAUUCUAGUGUUUACGUGUAUAAAUUUUUGUAUUUUUUAUGAAUGAAUCUGUACUCUCUACAACAGCUUAUUAAUAGAAA